rnacentral:rRNA from 1 species
AUUGAACGCUGGCGGCAGGCCUAACACAUGCAAGUCGAACGAGUGGCGGACGGGUGAGUAAUGUCUGGGAAACUGCCCGAUGGAGGGGGAUAACUACUGGAAACGGUAGCUAAUACCGCAUACCAUCCGAUUUGCCCAGAUGGGAUGAGCUUGUUGGUGGGGUAACGGCGCACCAAGGCGACGAUCCCUAGCUGGUCUGAAAGGAUACCGAGCCACACUGGAACUGAGCCACGGUCCCGCCCCCGACGGGAGGCAGCAGUGGGGAAUAUUGCACAAUGGGCGCAAGCCUGAUGCAGCCAUGCCGCGUGUAUGAAGAAGGCCUUCGGGUUUUAAAGUACUUUCAGCGGGGAGGCGUUACCCGCAGAAGAAGCACCGGCUAACUCCGUGCCAGCAGCCGCGGUAAUAC